rnacentral:rRNA from 1 species
UACGAAGGGGAGCUAGCGUUGCUCGGAAUUACUGGGCGUAAAGCGCACGUAGGCGGAUUGUUAAGUCGGGGGUGAAAUCCUGGAGCUCAACUCCAGAACUGCCUUCGAAACUGGCGAUCUUGAGUCCGGGAGAGGUGAGUGGAACUGCGAGUGUAGAGGUGAAAUUCGUAGAUAUUCGCAAGAACACCAGUGGCGAAGGCGGCUCACUGGCCCGGUACUGACGCUGAGGUGCGAAAGCGUGGGGAGCAAACAGGG